rnacentral:rRNA from 1 species
AUACGUAGGAUCCGAGCGUUGUCCGGAUUUACUGGGCGUAAAGGGUGCGUAGGCGGCGUGGUAAGUCUCAUGUGAAAUCUCCCGGCUUAACUGGGAGGGGUCAUGGGAUACUGCCAUGCUCGAGGGCAGUAGAGGAGAGCGGAAUUCCGGGAGUAGCGGUGAUAUGCGUAGAUACCCGGAGGAACACCCGUGGCGAAAGCGGCUCUCUGGGCUGUACCUGACGCUAAGGCACGAAAGCGUGGGGAGCAAACCGGAUUAGAAACCCCAGUAGUCC